UACGAAUCGUCCAAACGUUGUUCGGAUUUACUGGGCGUAAAGGGCGCGUAGGCGGCCACUGCAAGUCAGUUGUGAAAUCUCCGGGCUUAACUCGGAAAGGUCAACUGAUACUGCAGGGCUAGAGUGCAGAAGGGGCAACUGGAAUUCUCGGUGUAGCGGUGAAAUGCGUAGAUAUCGAGAGGAACACCUGCGGCGAAGGCGGGUUGCUGGGCUGACACUGACGCUGAAGCGCGAAAGCCAGGGGAGCGAACGGG
rnacentral:rRNA from 1 species